ACUCCUACGGGAGGCAGCAGUGGGGAAUAUUGCACAAUGGGGGAAACCCUGAUGCAGCCAUGCCGCGUGUGUGAAGAAGGCCUUCGGGUUGUAAAGCACUUUCAGCAGUGAGGAAAGGGUACAGUUAAUACCUGUUAUCUGNGACGUUAACUGCAGAAGAAGGACCGGCUAACUCCGUGCCAGCAGCCGCGGUAAUACGGAGGGUCCGAGCGUUAAUCGGAAUUACUGGGCGUAAAGCGCGCGUAGGCGGCUAGGUCAGUCAGAUGUGAAAGCCCCGGGCUCAACCUGGGAAUGCACCUGAUACUGCCUAGCUAGAGUACAAAGAGGGUGGUGGAAUUUCCUGUGUAGCGGUGAAAUGCGUAGAUAUAGG
rnacentral:rRNA from 1 species